rnacentral:rRNA from 1 species
GCUUGUCUCAAAGAUUAAGCCAUGCAUGUCUAAGUAUAAGCCUUUGUACGGCGAAACUGCGAAUGGCUCAUUAAAACAGUUAUAGUUUAUUCGAUAAUCAAUUGCUACAUGGAUAACUGUAGUAAUUCUAGAGCUAAUACAUGCACCCGUGCCCGACUUUGUGGAAGGGUUGUGUUUAUUAGUUACAGAACCAGCCCAGGCUCUGCCUGGUCUUGUGGUGAUUCAUAAUAACCGAACGAAUCGUAUGGCAUCAGCUGGCGAUGAAUCAUUCAAGUUUCUGACCUAUCAGCUUCCGACGGUAGGGUAUUGGCCUACCGUGGCAAUGACGGGUAACGGAGAAUUAGGGUUCGAUUCCGGAGAGGGAGCCUGAGAAACGGCUACCACAUCUAAGGAAGGCAGCAGG